rnacentral:rRNA from 1 species
UACGGAGGGGGCUAGCGUUGUUCGGAAUUACUGGGCGUAGAGCGCACGUAGGCGGCUUUGUAAGUUAGAGGUGAAAGCCCAGGGCUCAACCCUGGAAUUGCCUUUAAGACUGCAUCGCUUGAAUCAUGGAGAGGUGAGUGGAAUUCCGAGUGUAGAGGUGAAAUUCGUAGAUAUUCGGAAGAACACCAGUGGCGAAGGCGACUCACUGGACAUGUAUUGACGCUGAGGUGCGAAAGCGUGGGGAGCAAACAGG